rnacentral:rRNA from 1 species
AGGAUGAACGCUGGCGGUCUGCUUAACACAUGCAAGUCGAACGGAGUAGCAAUACUUAGUGGCGGACGGGUGAGUAACGCGUGAGAAUCUACCUUCAGGACGGAGACAACAGUUGGAAACGACUGCUAACCCCCGAUGUACCGAAAGGGCAAAUAUUUAUAGCCUGAAGAAGAGCUCGCGUCCGAUUAGCUAGUUGGAGAGGUAAAAGCUCACCAAGGCGACGAUCGGUAGCUGGUCUGAGAGGACGAUCAGCCACACUGGGACUGAGACACGGCCCAGACUCCUACGGGAGGCAGCAGUGGGAAUUUCGUCAAUGGGGGCAACCCUGAACGAGCAACGCCGCGUGCAGGAAGAGGUUUCGGAUCGUAAACUGCUUUUCGUCGGGAAGAGAACGGACGGUACCCGAGGAAUCAGCCCCGGCUAACUACGUGCCAGCAGCCGC